UACGAGGGGGGCAAGCGUUGUUCGGAAUUAUUGGGCGUAAAGGGUGCGUAGGCGGUUUGGUAAGUCUUAUGUGAAAUCUACAGGCUCAACUCUGUAGUCUGCAUGAGAAACUGCCGGGCUUGAGUAUGGGAGAGGUGAGUGGAAUUCCUGGUGUAGCGGUGAAAUGCGUAGAUAUCAGGAGGAACACCUGUGGCGAAAGCGGCUCACUGGACCAUAACUGACGCUGAGGCGCGAAAGCUAGGGGAGCAAACGGG
rnacentral:rRNA from 1 species